rnacentral:rRNA from 1 species
CCUAUGGACGGGAAUAACCUCGGGAAACUGAGAAUCAUGCCCGAUAGAACAUUAUGCCUGGAAUGGUUUAUGUUCCAAAUGAUUUAUCGCCGUAGGAUGGGACUGCGGCCUAUCAGUUUGUUGGUGAGGUAAUGGCCCACCAAGACUAUUACAGGUACGGGCUCUGAGAGGAGUAGCCCGGAGAUGGGUACUGAGACACGGACCCAGGCCCUAUGGGGCGCAGCAGGCGAGAAAACUUUGCAAUGUGCGAAAGCAGGACAAGGUUAAUCCGAGUGGUUUCUGCUAAAGAAACCUUUUGUCAGUCCUAGAAACACUGAUGAAUAAGGGGUGGGCAAGUUCUGGUGUCAGCCGCCGCGAUAAAACCAGCACCUCAAGUGGUCAGGAUGAUUAUUGGGCCUAAAGCAUCCGUAGCCGGCUCUGUAAGUUUUCGGUUAAAUCUGUACGCUCAACGUACAGGCUGCCGGGAAUACUUGCAUAGCUAGGGAGUGGGAGAGGCAGACGGUACUCGGUAGGAAAGGGGUAA